CUACCCUUGACAUGUACGGAAGCCACGAGAGAUCGAGGUGUGCUCGAAAGAGAACCGUAACACAGGUGCUGCAUGGCUGUCGUCAGCUCGUGUCGUGAGAUGUUGGGUUAAGUCCCGCAACGAGCGCAACCCUUGUCAUUAGUUGCUACGAAAGAGCACUCUAAUGAGACUGCCGGUGACAAACCGGAGGAAGGUGGGGAUGACGUCAAGUCCUCAUGGCCCUUAUGGGUAGGGCUUCACACGUCAUACAAUGGUACAUACAGAGGGCCGCCAACCCGCGAGGGGGAGCUAAUCCCAGAAAGUGUAUCGUAGUCCGGAUUGUAGUCUGCAACUCGACUACAUGAAGUUGGAAUCGCUAGUAAUCGCGGAUCAGCAUGUCGCGGUGAAUA
rnacentral:rRNA from 1 species